CUCAUAGGGAUGAAGUUUUCCUAAAUGUAGCACCUUAAUUGAAGUGGCCUUCUCUCUCUGACACCCAAAUGACUUCAACCAUAUGGACAAUGGUCCACCCUUCAACUCCUACCACCAAAUCAGCCUAAGGAGCUCAGCUUAGACUGGGUUUCACCAUCCAGGGGGCAGGCCUUUCUCAUCCCAAGCUGGAGUCUCCAAAGGGGGCCAUACCUCCAGACAGCAACCAGGGUCCACCUGGCUGUUCCCUCACUAUGGAAAACUCUCGUCCCAGAUCUGAUCAUGUAACUUCCUUUCCCGCACUCAGCUUUACCUCCUCAGAGACCUUCAUGGGC
rnacentral:lncRNA from 12 species